GGAUGUCCUGACCUAUGAUGAUGUGCAUGUGAACUUCACUGAGGAAGAGUGGGCAUUGCUGUAUCCUUCUCAGAAGACUCUCUACCAAUGUGUAAUGCUGGAGACCUGUAGGAAUCUCAGCGCUAUAGGUAUGAAAGAAGUUUUACUGGAAAGCAAACCUUUGAUUUUAUUCAGUAUAGUAAUGGCUUUGCAGUUCAGAGUCCUACCCAAAGGCAUAAUGGAGAGAAGCCCUAUGAAGGUAACCUCUGUGGUAAAGCAUUUGUACAGAGGAAUAAUCUCAAAACACAUAAAAGGACACAUAAUGGAGAAGAACCUUCUGAAUGUAACCAAUGUUGUAAAGACUUUGUAAGAAGCAGUGCUCUCCAAAAUCAUAAAGAAAUACACCCAGGAGAGAAACUUUAUGAAUGUAAUCAAUGUGGUAAAGCCUUUGCACAAAGGAGUAGUCUCAAAAGACAUAAAAGGACAUGUACUGGAGAAAAGCGUUAUAUAUAUAACCAAUGUCGUAAAGCCUU
rnacentral:lncRNA from 1 species